UGUGUACUGGAUCAUAUACAUAUGUGAUAUGGCAUUGGUUGAACACUAUGCGACUAAUGUAUUGUUUUGUCAUGUCUUGCAUAUAAGAUGCACUAUAGAUGCACUACACAUGCACUAUAUUGAGCUGGACUUCAUUAAAUUCCCUGAUGCUCUCGCAGUCCAGUCUUGCUAAACUCUAUGUUGAUUACAAAGUAGAGGCAUAACUAAUUUGUCAUACUGACAUACAGUACCAGUCAAAUGUUUAGACACACCUAAUAAUUCAAGAGUGGUUUCUUUAUUAUUAACAUUUUCUACAUUGUAGAAUAAUAGUGACGACAUCAAAACUAUGAAAUAACACAUAUGGAAUCAUGUAGUAACCAAAAAAGUGUUAAACAAAUUAAAACAUGUUUUAGAUUAUUGAAAGUAGCCACCAUUUGCCUUGAUGAAAGCUCUCCACACUCUUAGCAUUCUCUCAACCAGCUUCACCUGGAAUUAAUUUUCCAACAGUCUUGAAGGAGUUCCCACAUAUGGUGAGCACUUGUUGGCUGAUUUUCCUUCCCUCUGCAGUCCAAAUCAUCCCAAACCAUCUCAAUUGGGUUGAGGUUGGGUGAUUAUGGAGGCCAGGUCAUCUGAUGCAGCACUCCAUCACUCUCAUUCUUGGUCAGAUAGCCCUUACACAGCCUGAAGGUGUAUUGGGUCAUUAUCCUGUUUAAAAACAAAUGAUAGUCCCACUAAGCACAAAUCAGAUGGGAUGGCGUAUCGCUGCAUGAUGCUGAGGUAGACUUGCUGGUUAAGUGUGUCUUGAAUUUGAAAUAAAUCACAGACAAUGUCACCAUUAAAGCACACCUCCUCCAUGCUUCAUGAUAGGAACCACACAUGCGGAGAUCAUCUGUUCAACUACUCUGUGUCUCACAAAGACAGAAUCUCAAAUUUGGACUCAUUCUACCGAAAGAUAGUUUUCCACCAGUAUAAUGUUCAUUGCUCCUGUUUCUUGGCCCAAGCACGUCUCUUCUUAUUAUCGGUGUCCUUUAGUAGGGGUUUCUUUGCAGCAAUUCGACCAUGAAUGCCUGUUUCACACAGUCUCCUCUGAACAGUUGAUGUUGAGAUGUGUCUAUUACUUGAACACUGUCAAGCAUUUAUUUGGCCUGCAAUUUCUUAGGCUGGUAAAUCGAAUGAAUUUAUUCUCUGCAGCAGAGGUAACUCUGGGUCCUCAUGAGAGCCAGUUUCAUCAUAGCGCUUGAUGGUUCUUGCAACUGCACUUGAAGACAUUUUCAAAGUUCUAGAAAUUUUCCAGAUUUGUCCAGGUCAGCUGGAACUGGUGGCCAUCCCUGCCUCGAUCUCUGGUGGCCAUCCCUGCCUCGAUCUCUGGUGGCCAUCCCUGCCUUGAUCUCUUGUGGCCAUCCCUGCCUCGACCUCUGGUGGCCAUCCCUGCCUCGACCUCUGGUGGCCAUCCCUGCCUCGAUCUCUGGUGGCCAUCACUGCCUCGAACUCUGGUGGCCAUCCCUGCCUCGAUCUCUGGUGGCCAUCCCUGCCUCGAUCUCUGGUGGCCAUCCCUGCCUCGAUCUCUGGUGGCCAUCCCUGCCUCGAUCUCUGGUGCCCAUCCCUGCCUCGAUCUCUGGUGGCCAUCCCUGCCUCGAUCUCUGGUGGCUGGGUGGCAGGAGUUUUCUUAUUAUUAUCGUUAGAGUUUAAAAGAAAUAUUGGUGUGCUUUAUAGAUUACAUUUUCUUCUGGAGUUUACUCCGAUGGAAUGACUAGCAAAGCUGUAACCAGUUGGCUGGGCUGAUAGUGGGGUCGAGUUUUGAAGAUAGAGAUACUCAUUCAUGAGUUGUAGAAUGGGACAGUGGCGAUUUUAGCAUGUAAAUCUUGGUGGCGCAAACAAACAAAAAAAUGUGGGGGGUGCAUGCCAGCAAAGCCACUACACAACACUAAACAAUACAUUAAUUGUACUAUAAUGGUGACAAACGGUGCCCACAAACUGUUAGGGCCUACAUACAGCUGUCCCAACAGCAGAGUCCCAACAGUUUACCAAUGCUACACCUGGCUAUCAGAGGAGCCUUGUCUACGGCUGACUAAUGUGGUUUCUGUUGAGAUGUACAAAGUAUGGCAUAAGGAGAUGACGAGCAGAUAAGAAGCAAUCUGGAUAUUCGAUUAAGACAAUGGGAGAGCUAAGACGGACAUAGUCAAUAUAACUAAUUGUUUAGCACUUUUGAAAUGUACAGUGACAUAAUUCAGAACAUGGGCUGUUCUUACAGUGUUCUCCCUGUACACCAAGUCAGAACCAUAGGAUAUAUAAAGGUUUGAGUUUAUUUUAUUUUUUACAGGGACAGUGCACAUUAAUCAACGUUUCAGUUAAUGUGCCGGUUUUAGCCAGCCGGCUAAUUUUCAACCGCAGUCCCUGGGCAGGUUAUUAAAAACAAUUACAAUAUAGACAAUAGCAACAGGACAAGCAAGACAUAGCAUACAGACAGAGCAACAUAGGACAAGCAAGACGUAGCAUACAGACAUAGCAACAUAGAACAAAAAGCAGCAAGACAAAAUUCAUAAAAGCAACAGUGUUUCCACACCUCACAAGCUACAGACAACACACAGCUAGGGACCAUGUUCACAAAUCUGAUUGACCUUUAGACAUGGCUAAAGGUUGAAUAUAAGCAGACAAAGGAUGCUCUUAUAAUAUUCGAUGAUGACAUUUCUCAGGUUAUAGCAGGAUAUAGCCUACAUGUGCACCACUAAGUCAGAACAGUAGGCAAAAUUAAGAGGGGAAAAUAAACCAAAUCAUGAUGACGUCAGUGAUUUUCAGGUCGUAGCUCUAGAAAGAGGCCCGAGUUCCCGACUUACAAUUUCAAGUUGGAUGACCGUUCAAAAUUUAUUUUCCCAAUCAGAGCUGUUUUUUUCCUGAGUUCCCAGUUGUCUUGAACUCACUGAAGUCAGAUUUCCCAGUUCCCGAGUUAAGUUGUUUUGAGUCUGGCAGAAAUCAUGCUGGAUUGACAGCAUGGCCAAUGUUGAAUGUUUAUCAUUUUAAGCUUGGAAAAGAGACCCAGAAUUGGGACCACACACCCACUCCACUGAAUAGCAGGCUAGUAAUUGCUUUUCAAUGCUUGCAGUUAGCCACUGAUUACUCCUUGUUGAAUUUGCGAUUUCCAACAUGUUGUGUAAUGUUUGUGUCCAAUGGCCGAUGAGCACCUACACGUUUUUAUCUACAAUUUCUCUUCAUAUGACAAGGAUUUGCCAGUAGAUUGUCGACUUGAUUCAUGAUGAUGACUGCUAGCUAAGAUUUUGAAAGUAUGAUAUUGACAUGGUCAGUGCAAUCAAAGCUACUGUAGAUAUAACGUGAUUUGGCGUAAUUUUAUCUGUGGCCAAUGACCUUGAGCCUUCUUGGAUGGGCACUUCUAAUGUAACUCUAUGGUAGCAUUCAACGGGGCUUGGAUUUUCGAGCUCUACACUUAGAUUUGGCAGUGACGUAGUGUCCGCAUGAGUGACAGAAUACUGAGCCAAUCACUGCGCAACUAGAGAACAUUACCAACCCCUACGCUCUGUAUUUUCCGCAUUUUCCGCUGGCUGCCCCACCACAGAAAGCACUGAGCUAGGCUGAAACACCUGCAUUUUGGAGCUGCCUUACUCAAGAAAGCAAAUAAGAGACCAUGUUUGUAUGGAGGCUUUAUUAACUCAGUGAUUUGUUUGACAUUUUUUUUAAUUUUACAUUGUUUGCAACUGAUAUGUGACACGUAUUAAUGCCAAAAUAACUUGAAAAACAUUUGUAGCUAUAAAUGUGGGGCUCAAACAGGCUCUGACCCACCUGCCCUGAGUGACGGGUCGCCACUAGAAUGGGAACACAACAACAGCUAUACAGUAAAUUUCCCAAAACUCCAGUUUAUUGCACAGAUGCUGUGGUAGAAGAAAGCUCCAGCACCAUGGGUAAGAGCUCAACAGAGAGCUAAGGCGAGCACAACAUAUUGUUCACUAUACAACCACAUGAGUGGGGAGCCGACACACCCGGAAGUCCCAUUGUAACAAUAUUGUUGUGAAAGUUUAGGCAUGUUUUGGUUUACUCAUAUUUGAUAAACUAUUAAGUUGCAACUUUACAGAUUUCUGUCGCUGCAUUCCAGGUCUUCUCCUGCGGUCAUAUUUACACCAACUGGAGAAAAUAUCCAGACAUCUGGCGUCACAGGCCCGCUGCUUUUUGGAUGGACCUCGAAUACACACAAAUGAAAAUUAAAUGUAGCUACACUACUGGGGAUACAUCAGGCAACAUACAGUGCCUUGCGAAAGUAUUCGGCCCCCUUGAACUUUGCGACCUUUUGCCACAUUUCAGGCUUCAAACAUAAAGAUAUACAAUUUUAUUUUUUUGUGAAGAAUCAACAACAAGUGGGACACAAUCAUGAAGUGGAACGACAUUUAUUGGAUAUUUCAAACUUUUUUAACAAAUCAAAAACUGAAAAGUUGGGCAUGCAAAAUUAUUCAGCCCCUUUACUUUCAGUGCAGCAAACCCUCUCCAGAAGUUCAGUGGGGAUCUCUGAAUGAUCCAAUGUUGACCUAAAUGACUAAUGAUGAUAAAUACAAUCCACCUGUGUGUAAUCAAGUCUCCGUAUAAAUGCACCUGCACUGUGAUAGUCUCAGAGGUCCGUUAAAAGCGCAGAGAGCAUCAUGAAGAACAAGGAACACACCAGGCAGGUCCGAGAUACUGUUGUGAAGAAGUUUAAAGCCGGAUUUGGAUACAACAAGAUUUCCCAAGCUUUAAACAUCCCAAGGAGCACUGUGCAAGCGAUAAUAUUGAAAUGGAAGGAGUAUCAGACCACUGCAAAUCGACCAAGACCUGGCCGUCCCUCUAAACUUUCAGCUCCUACAAGGAGAAGACUGAUCAGAGAUGCAGCCAAGAGGCCCAUGAUCACUGGAUGAACUGCAGAGAUCUACAGCUGAGGUGGGAGACUGUCCAUAGGACAACAAUCAGUUGUAUAUUGCACAAAUCUGGCCUUUAUGGAAGAGUGGCAAGAAGAAAGCAAUUUCUUAAAGAUAUCCAUAAAAAGUGUUGUUUAAAGUUUGCCACAAGCUACCAGGGAGACACACCAAACAUGUGGAAGAAGGUGCUCUGGUCAGAUGAAACCAAAAUUGAACUUUUUGGCAACAAUGCAAAACGUUAUGUUUGGCGUAAAAGCAACACAGCUCAUCACCCUGUACACACCAUCCCCACUGUCAAACAUGGUGGUGGCAGCAUCAUGGUUUGGGCCUGCUUUUCUUCAGCAGGGACAGGGAAGAUGGUUAAAAUUGAUGGGAAGAUGGCUGGAGCCAAAUACAGGACCAUUCUGGAAGAAAACCUGAUGGAGUCUGCAAAAGACCUGAGACUGGGACGGAGAUUUGUCUUCCAACAAGACAAUGAUCCAAAACAUAAAGCAACAUCUACAAUGGAAUGGUUAAAAAAUAAACAUAUCCAGGUGUUAGAAUGGCCAAGUCAAAGUCCAGACCUGAAUCCAAUCGAGAAUCUGUUGAAAGAACUGAAAACUGCUGUUCACAAAUGCUCUCCAUCCAACCUCACUGAGCUCGAGCUGUUUUGCAAGGAGGAAUGGGAAACAUUUUCAGUCUCUUGAUGUGCAAAACUGAUAGAGACAUACCCCAAGCGACUUACAGCUGUAAUCGCAGCAAAAGGUGGCGCUACAAAGUAUUAACUUAAGGGUGCUGAAUAAUUUUGCACCCCCAAUUUUACAGUUUUUGAUUUGUUAAAAAAGCUGGAGGGUCAUGUCAGGAUGAGCCUGCAGGAAGGGUACCACAUGAGGGAGGAGGAUGUCUUCCCUGUAACGCACAGCGUUGAGAUUGCCUGCAAUGACAAAAAGGUCAGUCUGAUGAUGCUGUGACACACCGCCCCAGACCAUGAUGGACCCUCCACCUCCAAAUCGAUCCCGCUCCAGAGUACAGGCCUCGGUGUAAUGCUCAUUCCUUCGACGAUAAAUGUGAAUCCGACCAUCACCCCUGGUGAGACAAAACCGUGAAUGAAGAGUACUUUUUGCCAGUCCUGUCUGGUCCAGUGACAAUGGGUUUGUGCCCAUAGGCAACGUUGUUGCCGGUGAUAUAUGGUGAGGACCUGCCUUACAACAGGCCUACAAUUCCUCAGUCCAGCCUCUCUCAGCCUAUUGCGGACAGUCUGAGUACUGAUGGAGGGAUUGUGCGUUCCUGGUGUAACUCGGGCAGUUGUUGCCAUCCUGUCCCACAGGUGUGAUGUUCGGAUGUACCAAUCCUGUGCAGGUGUUGUUACAUGUGGUCUGCCACUGCGUGGAUGAUCAGCUGUCCGUCCUGUCUCCAUGUAGCGCUUUCUUAGGUGUCUCACAGUACGGACAUUGCCAUUUUUUCCCUUGGCCACAUCUGCAAUCCUCAUGCCUCCUUGCAGCAUGCCGAAUGCACAUUCACGCAGAUGAGCAGGGACCCUGGGCAUCUUUCUUUUGGUGUUUUUCAGUCAGUAGAAAGGCCUCUUUAGGGUCCUAAGUUUUCAUGUUCUGAAAGAGCUGCAAAACCUGGACCCGUACAAAUCAGCUGGGCUUGACAAUCUGGACCCUCUAUUUCUGAAACUAUCCGCCGCCAUUGUCGCAACCCCUAUUACCAGCCUGUUCAACCUCUCUUUCAUAUCGUCUGAGAUCCCCAAGGAUUGGAAAGCUGCCGCAGUCAUCCCCCUCUUCAAAGGGGGAGACACCCUGGACCCAAACUGUUACAGACCUAUAUCCUUCCUGCCCUGCCUAUCUAAGGUCUUCGAAAGCCAAGUCAACAAACAGGUCACUGACCAUCUCGAAUCCCACCGUACCUUCUCCACUGUGCAAUCUGGUUUCCGAGCCGGUCACGGGUGCACCUCAGCCACACUCAAGGUACUAAACGAUAUCAUAACCGCCAUCGAUAAAAGACAGUACUGUGCAGCCGUCUUCAUCGACCUUGCCAAGGCUUCCAACUCUGUCAAUCACCAUAUUCUUAUCGGCAGACUCAGUAGCCUCGGUUUUUCGGAUGACUGUCUUGCCUGGUUCACCAAUUACUUUGCAGACAGAGUUCAGUGUGUCAAAUCGGAGGGCAUGCUGUCCGGUCCUCUGGCAGUCUCUAUGGGGGUGCCACAGGGUUCAAUUCUCGGGCCGACUCUUUUCUCUGUAUAUAUCAAUGAUGUUGCUCUUGCUGCGGGCGAUUCCCUGAUCCACAUCUCCGCAGACGACACCAUUCUAUAUACUUUCGGCCCGUCAUUGGACACUGCUAUCUAACCUCCAAACGAGCUUCAAUGCCAUACAACACUCCUUCCGUGGCCUCCAACUGCUCUUAAACGCUAGUAAAACCAAAUGCAUGCUUUUCAACCGAUCGCUGCCUGCACCCGCAUGCCCGACUAGCAUCACCACCCUGGAUGGUUCCGACCUUGAAUAUGUGGACAUCUAUAAGUACCUAGGUGUCUGGCUAGACUGCAAACUCUCCUUCCAGACUCAUAUCAAACAUCUCUAAUCGAAAAUCAAAUCAAGAGUCGGCUUUCUAUUCCGCAACAAAGCACCCUUCACUCACGCCGCCAAGCUUACCCUCGUAAAACUGACUAUCCUACCGAUCCUCGACUUCGGCGAUGUCAUCUACAAAAUGGCUUCCAACACUCUACUCAGCAAACUGGAUGCAGUUUAUCACAGUGCCAUCCGUUUUGUCACUAAAGCACCUUAUACCACCCACCACUGCGACUUGUAUGCUCUAGUCGGCUGGCCUUCACUACAUAUUCGUCGCCAGACCCACUGGCUCCAGGUCAUCUACAAGUCCAUGCUAGGUAAAGCUCCGCCUUAUCUAAGUUCACUGGUCAUGAUGGCAACACCCAUCCGUAGCACGCGCUCCAGCAGGUGUAUCUCACUGAUCAUCCCUAAAGCCAACACCUCAUUUGGCCGCCUUUCGUUCCAGUACUCUGCUGCCUGUGACUGGAACGAAUUGCAAAAAUCGCUGAAGUUGGAGACUUUUAUCUCCCUCACCAACUUCAAACAUCAGCUAUCUGAGCAGCUAACCGAUCGCUGCAGCUGUACAUAGUCUAUUGGUAAAUAGCCCACCCAUUUUCACCUACCUCAUCCCCAUACUGUUUUUAUUUAUUUACUUUUCUGCUCUUUUGCACACCAAUAUCUCUACCUGUACAUGACCAUCUGAUCAUUUAUCACUCCAGUGUUAAUCUGCAAAAUUGUAAUUAUUCGCCUACCUCCUCAUGCCUUUUUUAGACUCCCCUUUUUUUCUACUGUGUUAUUGACUUGUUAAUUGUUUACCCCAUGUGUAACUCUGUGUUGUCUGUUCACACUGCUAUGCUUUAUCUUGGCCAGGUCGCAGUUGCAAAUGAGAACUUGUUCUCAACUAGCCUACCUGGUUAAAUAAAGGUGAAAUAAAAAAUAAAAUAAAAAUAAUUGUGAGCUCCUUUGCCUACCGUCUGUAAGCUGUUAGUGUCUUAAUGACCGUUCUACAGGUGCAUGAUCAAUACAACCUAGAGGUACUAGGGGGCAGUAUUUUCAUUUUUGGGAGAGAAAAAAAACGUUCCUGUUUUAAACGUGAUAUUUUGUCAGGACAAGAUUCUAGAAUAUGCAUAGAAAACACUCUAACGUUUCCAAAACUGUAAAGAUAUUGUCUGUGAGUAUAACAGAACUGAUGUUGCAGGCGAAAGCCUGAGAAAAAUCCAAUCCGGAAGUGCCCCAGGUUUUGAAAGCGCUGCGUUCCAAUGAGUCCCUAUUCAGCUGUGAAUGUGCCAUUAACGAGCUUACACUUUCUACGUAUUCCCCAAGGUGUCUACAGCAUUGUAAGGUAGUUUUACGCAUUUCUGUUGAAGAAUAGCCGUAGGCGGCCACAUUGCGUAAGUGGUCACAUGGUGGCUCCGAGAGAGAUUCUCGCGUAAAAUACAGAGGUAGCCAUUACUCCAAUCGGCCCUACUGAAAAACGAAUUGUCCCGACGGAUAUAUUAUCAAAUAGAUAUUAGAAAAACACCUUGAGGAUUGAUUAUAAACAACGUUUGCCAUGUUUCUGUCGAUAUUAUGGAGCUAAUUUGGAAUAUUUUUCGGCGUUGUGGUGACCGCAAUAUCCGGGCGAUUUCUCAGCCAAACAUGAAGAACAAAUGGAGCUAUUUCGCCUACAAAAAUAAUAUUUUGGGAAAAAAUUAACUUUGGCUAUCUACCUGGGAGUCUCGUGAGUGAAAACAUCCGAAGUUCAUCAAAGGUAAACGAUUUAAUUUGGUUGCUUUUCUGAUUUCCGUGACAAGGUUGCCUGCUGCUAGCAAGGCAUAAUGCUAGGCUAUGAUAAACUUACACAAAUGCUUGUCUAGCGUUGGCUGUAAAGCAUAUUUUGAAAAUCUGAGAUGACAGGGUGAUUAACAAAAGGCUAAGCUGUGUUCCAAUAUAUUUCACUUGUGAUUUUCAUGAAUAGGAAGAUUUAUGUCCAUUGCGUUAUGCUAAUUAGUGUCAGGCGAUGAUUAUGCUCCCGGAUCUGGGUUUGAGAGUCACAUUAAGUGUUUAUGAUUCAUUGAACAAGCAUGGGAAACCGUGCUUAAACCUUUUACAAUGAAAAUCUGUGAAGUUAUUUGGAUUUUUAUGAAUUAUCUUUGAACGACAGGGUCCUGAAAAAGGGACGUUUCUUUUUUUGCUGAGUUUACAUACGAUAGACUUUGGUUUUUAAUGUAAAGAAAUAACUAAAUGUUAUACCCCUUGAUCUUCAAGAAUAGGACAUGGAAAUAUGGAAGUAUAGCAUAGCCAAAUUGUUUUCCAUGAGCAUAACCCAAAAACCGAGGAUUUAUUAGCCAGCUCUACUCUGUUGUUUAUGAUUUUGUUGUCAUGGAGGACUGAUUGGGUUCAUUGAUUCAAGUUGAAAAAUAAAUGCUGCGCUCAUGGAAUGGCAUGCUUUGAGCACUACUGAAAAGUGCUAUUUACAUGUGAAAAAUGAAUGCCAUAUGUUGCAUUUGCUAUUGUUUACCUUUUUUUGGUGACACUUUGAUAUCUUGAUAAUAUGCAGCUGUUUAAAGGGCAGCUGAAACGAUAACAAAACGGUCGCCCUCUGUUUUGGUAAAAAGCUGAGGGAUAGGCCUGGAGAAAUGUAACCACUCUCAGAUUAAUAGACAGAGCUAUGGAUGCAAGGACGGACCAUCAAUUAUAUCAAAAUUGUUUUAACCAUGUUAUGAGGCUAUAGAGUGUUGGUUUACAUUUACAAUGUCAAAUCGAAUCAAAUUUUAUUUGUCUCAUGCGCUGGAUACAACAGGUUACAGUGAAAUGCUUACUUACAAGCCCUUAAUCAACAAUGCUUUAAAAAGUUAAGAAAAACGUGUUAAAUAAAAAAUAGAUACACUUAAUUAUUAUUAUUUUUGAUUAACAAAUAAUUAAGCAGUAAAAUAACAAUAGCGAGACUAUAUACAGGGGGGUACCAGUACAAAGUCAAUGUGCAGGGGCACCGGUUAGUCGAGGUAAUAUGUACAUGUAGGUAGAGUUAAAGUGACUAUGCAUAGAUAAUAGAGAGUAGCAGCAGCGUAAGAGAGGGGUCUGGGUAGCCCUUUGAUUAGCUGUUCAGGAGUGUUAUGGCUUGGGGGUAGAAGCUGUUAAGAAGCCUUUUGGACCUAGACUUGGCGCUCCGGUACCGCUUGCCGUGCGGUAGCAGAGAGAACAGUCUAUGACUUAGGUGACUGGAGACUGACAAUUCUUUGGGACUUCCUCUGACACCUCCAUGUAUAUAGGCCCAGGAUGUCAAGAAGCUUGGCCCCAGUGAUGUACUGGGCCUUACGCACUACCUUCUGUAGUGCCAUACGGUCAGAUGCCAAGCCAUUGCCAUAACAGGUGGUGAUGAAUCAGUCAGGAUGCUCUCGAUGGUGCAGCUGGAGAACUUUUAGACACAUGCCACUGUGUAGGCCCAUGCCAAAUAUUUUCAGUUUCCUGAGAGGGAAAAGGUGUUGCUGUGCUCUCUUUGACUGUCUUGGUGUGUUUGGACCAUGAUAGUUUAUUGGUGAUGUGGAUAUAUUGAUUGGGUCUAACCUUUUUCAGCCAAAAAGUGUUGAUGUGAAAAUUGUUGCAUUAAAUCAAAUCAAAUGUAUCUAUAUAGCCCAUCGUACAUGAACUGAUAUCUCAAAGUGCUGUACAGAAACCCAGCCUAAAACCCCAAACAGCAAGCAAAGCAGGUGAUGAAGCACGUUGGCUAAGUAAAAACUACCUAGUGGCCAGUCCUCAUCUGGCUGUGCCGGGUGGAGAUUAUAACAGAACAUGGCCAAGAUGUUCAAAUGUUCAUAAAUGACCAGCAUGGUCAAAUAAUAGGUCUGGGACAGGUAGCACGUCCGGUGAACAGGUCAGGAUUCCAAAGCCGCAGGCAGAACAGUUGAAACUGGAGCAGCAGCACGGCCAGGUGGACUGGGGAUAGCAAGGAGUCAUCGUGCCAGGUAGUCCUGAGGCAUGGUCCUAGGGCUCAGGUCCUCCGAGAGAGACAAAGAAAGAGAGAAAGAAUUAGAGAGAGCACACUUAAAUUCACACAGAACACAGGAUAAGACAGGAGAAGAUAUAACAAACUGACCCGAGCCCCCCGACACAUGAACUACUGCAGCAUUAAUACUGGAGGCUGAGACAGGAGGGGUCGGGAGACACUGUGGCCCCAUCUGAUGAUACUCCCGGCCAGGGCCAAACGGGAAGGAUAUAACCCCACCCACUUUGCCAAAGCACAGCCCCCACACCACUAGAGGGAUAUCUUCAACCACCAACUUACCAUCCUGAGACAAGGCCGAGUAUAGCCCAAAGAUCUCCGCCACGGCACAACCCAUGGGGGUGCACCAACCCAGACAGGAAGAUCACAUCAAUGACUCAACCCACUCAAGUGACGCACCCCUCCUAGGGACAGCAUGAAAGAGCACCAGUAAGCCAGUGACUUAGCCCCUGUCACAGGGUUAGAGGCAGAGAAUCCCCGUGGAAAGAGGGGAACCGGCCAGGCAGAGACAGCAAGGGCAUUUUGUUGCUCCAGAGCCUUUCCGUUCACCUUCACACUCCUGGGCCAGACUACACUCAAUCAUAUGAUCCACUGAAGAGAUAAGUCUUCAAUAAAGACUUAAAGGUUGAGACCGAGUUUGCGUCUCUCACAUGGAUCAUAGCCACGUCAACAGUGGGCGUUCAGGCUUGUAAGAGACAUGAAAUAUAUGAAAGCUUUGGUGACCGAGGCUGGAUGUAUUUCUCUCCAUUAGGAUUGGGUCCUGGCUCCUACGGGCUACUGUGCCUUCUACUGUGAUGGAGAAUGCCAAAACCCUGCAUCAACACCACUAACCACGCUAUGAUCCAACUAGAGGUUCACCUUUUGAAGCUGGGUGAGGUUCCCAAAGCGUGCUGUGCUCCCACUAAGCUCAGUCCCAUCUCUAGACUCUUCUACAACGAGAUCCUAAAGAAGCAUGAAGACAUGGUGGUCAAGACCUGUGUAUGCCUGUGACACCUGUGGCAACCCAUCUAUUCUACAUCAUUUUAAUAAACUUCACUACCUUUGUUCCAAAAUAUAUACCUUUGCAACCAGCAGUUGAAAGCAAUAAUCUGGCAAUAUGCAGAUAAAUAGAUGUAUCUACACUGUACAAAAAAAUUAACGCGACAUCCAACAAUUUCAACGAUAUUACUGAGUUAAAGUUCAUAUAAGGCAAUCAGUCAAUUAAAAUACAUUCUUUAGACCCUAAUCUAUGGAUUUCACAUGACUGUGAAUACAGAUGUGCCUCUGUUGGUCACAGAUACCUUUUUAAAUGAAGACAGGGGUGUGGAUUUGGGGCGGCAGGUAGCCUAGUGGUUAGUGUUGAGCCAGUAACCGAAAGAUGCUGGAUCCAAUCCCCGAGCUGACAAGGUACAAAUCUGUCAUUCUGCCCCUGAACGUGACAGUUAACCCACUGUUUCCCGGGAAGGCCGUCAUUGUAAGUAAGGAUUUGUUCUUAACUGACUUGCCAAGUUAGAAAAAGGAUAACAAGCCUUCUACUGUGAUGGAGAAUGCCUAUAUCCUCUGGGUUCCUGCAUGAACACCACUGACCACGCUAUGAUCCAACGAGUGGUUCACCUUUUGAAGCUGGGUGAGGUUCCCAAAGCGUGCUGUGCUCCCACUAAGCUCAGUCCCAUCUCUAGACUCUUCUACAACGAGAUCCUAAAGAAGCAUGAAGACAUGGUGGUCAAGACCUGUGUAUGCCUGUGACACCUGUGGCAACCCAUCUAUUCUACAUCAUUUUAAUAAACUUCACUACCUUUGUUCCAAAAUAUAUACCUUUGCAACCAGCAGUUGAAAGCAAUAAUCUGGCAAUAUGCAGAUAAAUAGAUGUAUCUACACUGUACAAAAAAAAAUUAACGCGACAUCCAACAAUUUCAACGAUAUUACUGAGUUAAAGUUCAUAUAAGGCAAUCAGUCAAUUAAAAUACAUUCUUUAGACCCUAAUCUAUGGAUUUCACAUGACUGUGAAUACAGAUGUGCCUCUGUUGGUCACAGAUACCUUUUUAAAUGAAGACAGGGGUGUGGAUUUGGGGCGGCAGGUAGCCUAGUGGUUAGUGUUGAGCCAGUAACCGAAAGAUGCUGGAUCCAAUCCCCGAGCUGACAAGGUACAAAUCUGUCAUUCUGCCCCUGAACGUGACAGUUAACCCACUGUUUCCCGGGAAGGCCGUCAUUGUAAGUAAGGAUUUGUUCUUAACUGACUUGCCAAGUUAGAAAAAGGAUAACAAGCCUUCUACUGUGAUGGAGAAUGCCUAUAUCCUCUGGGUUCCUGCAUGAACACCACUGACCACGCUAUGAUCCAACGAGUGGUUCACCUUUUGAAGCUGGGUGAGGUUCCCAAAGCGUGCUGUGCUCCCACUAAGCUCAGUCCCAUCUCUAGACUCUUCUACAACGAGAUCCUAAAGAAGCAUGAAGACAUGGUGGUCAAGACCUGUGUAUGCCUGUGACACCUGUGGCAACCCAUCUAUUCUACAUCAUUUUAAUAAACUUCACUACCUUUGUUCCAAAAUAUAUACCUUUGCAACCAGCAGUUGAAAGCAAUAAUCUGGCAAUAUGCAGAUAAAUAGAUGUAUCUACACUGUACAAAAAAAUUAACGCGACAUCCAACAAUUUCAACGAUAUUACUGAGUUAAAGUUCAUAUAAGGCAAUCAGUCAAUUAAAAUACAUUCUUUAGACCCUAAUCUAUGGAUUUCACAUGACUGUGAAUACAGAUGUGCCUCUGUUGGUCACAGAUACCUUUUUAAAUGAAGACAGGGGUGUGGAUUUGGGGCGGCAGGUAGCCUAGUGGUUAGUGUUGAGCCAGUAACCGAAAGAUGCUGGAUCCAAUCCCCGAGCUGACAAGGUACAAAUCUGUCAUUCUGCCCCUGAACGUGACAGUUAACCCACUGUUUCCCGGGAAGGCCGUCAUUGUAAGUAAGGAUUUGUUCUUAACUGACUUGCCAAGUUAGAAAAAGGAUAACAAGCCUUCUACUGUGAUGGAGAAUGCCUAUAUCCUCUGGGUUCCUGCAUGAACACCACUGACCACGCUAUGAUCCAACGAGUGGUUCACCUUUUGAAGCUGGGUGAGGUUCCCAAAGCGUGCUGUGCUCCCACUAAGCUCAGUCCCAUCUCUAGACUCUUCUACAACGAGAUCCUAAAGAAGCAUGAAGACAUGGUGGUCAAGACCUGUGUAUGCCUGUGACACCUGUGGCAACCCAUCUAUUCUACAUCAUUUUAAUAAACUUCACUACCUUUGUUCCAAAAUAUAUACCUUUGCAACCAGCAGUUGAAAGCAAUAAUCUGGCAAUAUGCAGAUAAAUAGAUGUAUCUACACUGUACAAAAAAAUUAACGCGACAUCCAACAAUUUCAACGAUAUUACUGAGUUAAAGUUCAUAUAAGGCAAUCAGUCAAUUAAAAUACAUUCUUUAGACCCUAAUCUAUGGAUUUCACAUGACUGUGAAUACAGAUGUGCCUCUGUUGGUCACAGAUACCUUUUUAAAUGAAGACAGGGGUGUGGAUUUGGGGCGGCAGGUAGCCUAGUGGUUAGUGUUGAGCCAGUAACCGAAAGAUGCUGGAUCCAAUCCCCGAGCUGACAAGGUACAAAUCUGUCAUUCUGCCCCUGAACGUGACAGUUAACCCACUGUUUCCCGGGAAGGCCGUCAUUGUAAGUAAGGAUUUGUUCUUAACUGACUUGCCAAGUUAGAAAAAGGAUAACAAGCCUUCUACUGUGAUGGAGAAUGCCUAUAUCCUCUGGGUUCCUGCAUGAACACCACUGACCACGCUAUGAUCCAACGAGUGGUUCACCUUUUGAAGCUGGGUGAGGUUCCCAAAGCGUGCUGUGCUCCCACUAAGCUCAGUCCCAUCUCUAGACUCUUCUACAACGACAACGUGAUCCUAAAGAAGCAUGAAGACAUGGUGGUCAAGACCUGUGUAUGCCUGUGACACCUGUGGCAACCCAUCUAUUCUACAUCAUUUUAAUAAACUUCACUACCUUUGUUCCAAAAUAUAUACCUUUGCAACCAGCAGUUGAAAGCAAUAAUCUGGCAAUAUGCAGAUAAAUAGAUGUAUCUACACUGUACAAAAAAAUUAACGCGACAUCCAACAAUUUCAACGAUAUUACUGAGUUAAAGUUCAUAUAAGGCAAUCAGUCAAUUAAAAUACAUUCUUUAGACCCUAAUCUAUGGAUUUCACAUGACUGUGAAUACAGAUGUGCCUCUGUUGGUCACAGAUACCUUUUUAAAUGAAGACAGGGGUGUGGAUUUGGGGCGGCAGGUAGCCUAGUGGUUAGUGUUGAGCCAGUAACCGAAAGAUGCUGGAUCCAAUCCCCGAGCUGACAAGGUACAAAUCUGUCAUUCUGCCCCUGAACGUGACAGUUAACCCACUGUUUCCCGGGAAGGCCGUCAUUGUAAGUAAGGAUUUGUUCUUAACUGACUUGCCAAGUUAGAAAAAGGAUAACAAGCCUUCUACUGUGAUGGAGAAUGCCUAUAUCCUCUGGGUUCCUGCAUGAACACCACUGACCACGCUAUGAUCCAACGAGUGGUUCACCUUUUGAAGCUGGGUGAGGUUCCCAAAGCGUGCUGUGCUCCCACUAAACUCAGUCCCAUCUCUAGACUCUUCUACAACGACAACGUGAUCCUAAAGAAGCAUGAAGACAUGGUGGUCAAGACCUGUGUAUGCCUGUGACACCUGUGGCAACCCAUCUAUUCUACAUCAUUUUAAUAAACUUCACUACCUUUGUUCCAAAAUAUAUACCUUUGCAACCAGCAGUUGAAAGCAAUAAUCUGGCAAUAUGCAGAUAAAUAGAUGUAUCUACACUGUACAAAAAAAUUAACGCGACAUCCAACAAUUUCAACGAUAUUACUGAGUUAAAGUUCAUAUAAGGCAAUCAGUCAAUUAAAAUACAUUCUUUAGACCCUAAUCUAUGGAUUUCACAUGACUGUGAAUACAGAUGUGCCUCUGUUGGUCACAGAUACCUUUUUAAAUGAAGACAGGGGUGUGGAUUUGGGGCGGCAGGUAGCCUAGUGGUUAGUGUUGAGCCAGUAACCGAAAGAUGCUGGAUCCAAUCCCCGAGCUGACAAGGUACAAAUCUGUCAUUCUGCCCCUGAACGUGACAGUUAACCCACUGUUUCCCGGGAAGGCCGUCAUUGUAAGUAAGGAUUUGUUCUUAACUGACUUGCCAAGUUAGAAAAAGGAUAACAAGCCUUCUACUGUGAUGGAGAAUGCCUAUAUCCUCUGGGUUCCUGCAUGAACACCACUGACCACGCUAUGAUCCAACGAGUGGUUCACCUUUUGAAGCUGGGUGAGGUUCCCAAAGCGUGCUGUGCUCCCACUAAGCUCAGUCCCAUCUCUAGACUCUUCUACAACGACAACGUGAUCCUAAAGAAGCAUGAAGACAUGGUGGUCAAGACCUGUGUAUGCCUG